AUGAACUACAAUUGGUUUAAAAUUGCUUAAAAUUAAGCUUCUUUUAGUAAGACAGGAGCUGGAGUAUUUUACAGAACUAUGUAGUGUGUUUUGAACUUAUAUGAAGACGCCAGAUUGUCCCUGGCUUGAGCUGAAUAACCAGCCACUGGAAACUGAUACUGUCUUAUCUGUAUCAGAGGAUUCUGUCUGGAGAUGUUAUGUAAAAGAAAAUGAUGACUUGUUAUAUGAGGCACAUUAUGGGAAGUAUUCAGCUGUGCUGUGAGGCUUCUUCUCCUUCCAUUCCCAAUGCACACUUUGGCCAUUAUACUGUAUUUACUUGGCGUAUAACCAGUUCACUGGAAUUAGAUUGCAUUUACUGUGGUAUUUGGGAAGGCUGCCAGUUU